rnacentral:tRNA from 1 species
GGUGAGGUGGCCGAGCUGGUCGAAGGCGCUCGCCUGCUAAGUGAGUAGGGUGGCUUAAACCGCCCUCCAGGGUUCGAAUCCCUGCCUCACCGCCA